UUUAAAGUAUAAGUGUAUCCUGUGCCAUAUUUAGGACAUACUUAUGCUAAAA
rfam:Ictidomys tridecemlineatus contig069173, whole genome shotgun sequence.